ACUGACAUACCACGUUGUAAACACCGGUUCACUUCCGAUCACCGAAGUUAAGCAACGUCGGGCCCGAUCAGUACUUGGGAGGGUGACCACCUUGGAAAACCGGGUGCUAUAGGCU
rnacentral:rRNA from 1 species